AUUACGUAUUCUUCAGACGUUCUGCUUUAAAAUACAUUAAGUAUCAGCUGUAUACAAAGUGACCAUGACCAACAUUUGGUUUUCAAGCGCUGAAAUGUAAUAUUCAACAAUCUGAAAAUGGAGCCUCACUGAGGUCCCCAUAUCUCUGGGAUUGAACAAUGUAGGGCCUUGAAAAUGAAGAUUCCAAAAGAAAAUCAUAUUUUUGCAAAUUGACUCACAUUUGGUUUUUGACCACUGAAAAUAUGUACAUUUUAACAAUUUACAUCUGAAGCCAUAUUAAAAUUCCAAUAUCUCUGGAACCGAACUAUAUAGGGCCUUAAAAAUGGAGAUGUCAAACGGAAUGUUUGUUAAGACCCUUCUUGAGUUACAGGCGUGCAAACUUUGGAGAAAAAAACUUGAAAAGUGCUGUUUCCCCAGAUUUGAAUGGUCACCAUUGGCACAUAAUGCAAAAAAGAUUGCUAAAGUGAGCAGAUUUUACUAACAGGCCUACCAAUCUCUGUGUAAAAAUUACAUUAUGAUGCUGCCAUUUUUCUGAAGCCAUUUUUACCCCCUGUAAUUUGGCUCUGAAUCUCAGGUGAAAAUUGCCAUUUUGACCCCCUCUACAAAAUAGUGGAUUACUUAGUAAAUAUUCAUCCAUGACAUUUCAUAUUUUGGCUUUCAUCACUAUACAUGUCUGUCUUUCUUCAGAAAGAAAUAUUAGCAAAAUCAAAAAUUUGAACUGGGGACCUCUGGUUGAGUUGACACGUAAUGACCCUGUUUCACAAUCCAAAAUAAUCCUGCUGCUCUGGGCCAAGAUGUAAACAUGUUAGUCCAACAAAAUGGAGAUAUACAACACAAACUUUCAGAGAAAAAGGCUAGGCCAGCAACCAACCUAAAAAGAGGAAAAAAUAGCAAAGACCCUAACGCAUGAACCCAGUCAACAUUUUUACAGCACACUCAACGCCAAACGAGCAACUCUUGGCAGGGAACAUGACACAAUGUCUCAAUAAAAAAAAAGAGUUGAAAGUAAUAGGCUCAGAAAUGAGGAAAAGGGAUUCCAUUCACUCUGACAUCAUGAUAUAAAUAUAGUUAAUGCAGACAAUAAUCAAGGAAUGUGCCAUAAAAUACUUAAAAAUACCAGGCUACAUACAACUUUUCAGUUUGAAUCUGUUCAUUGAUCAUUGGUACACUGAGUAUGUCAUCAGCAUUCUCAUGCAUCAUUUGCAAUGUAGGUAUCUUGUGUCUUUCUAUCUUGAUGCCACUGGAGGAGUUGUGUCAAAAAUACCAGAACAGCUGAAGCAUUAAUGAAAUUAUGACACUUAUUUCCAUACAGUUGAACUGAUUUAUUUGAACUUAAAUUUAGUUAAUUGUACCGAUGAGUACAAAUCAUGCUAAUUUAAUGAGAUCACAUCAGUUUCAUUUCACAUAUUCUGUGAAUGUUCUCAACACAAUUCACUCAUAUAGAUCCAACCAGUACUGUUGAUGUUCAGACUGGUGCCCUUGCAGAGUUGUGAGUUUUCUGCAUUUUUAUGAAAAUGGAGAGACCUGUUGGAAUUUAAUGUUUACUUAUUUUAAACAUUUAAAAUAAUUUAUACUAUAUAUAUAUAUAUAUAUAUAGAUAUAUUUACCAUUGUGGUGAAGAGUGGAGUUUGUGCUUAGACUAUCAGUAACUAUUAUAAGCACAUAAAUGUAAUAUAAUUGUGAAAAGUAGAAAUACUGACCAUAUAAGUCAUGUGAUUGGCUUUAAAUUUAUGUAUUUUAAUUAUAGUCAUAAAAACAAACAGCCAACAUAACACUUGUUCUCACGUUGAACUUCUGCAGCAAAUGAGUUAAAACAAACCAAAAAAGGUUGUUAGUUCAUUGAGAACAACAGUUUUGGCUCAUGUAGCCAUAGCCUAACCACAAGGCCUACACUUCACAAUAAUGGUAACCUCAAAAAUCGGCAUAAACAAAAACUCUUUUAAAUGUCAAAAAUAGCUGAACAACAAACUUUAAAAAGUCUUUCCCUUUACUAAAAAACACAUUAAGCAGCACUUAAUUUACAGAUUUACACUCCUGAUCUAGCCCUAUGCAAAGCAUGCUGGGAACUAGAAAUCCACUUCCCAGUUUCAGGAUUUACAGAAGUUUCUGUUAUGUUGAUUUUGUAGUGUUACGUUGUCGUGAAGAGUAGAGCCUGUGGUUAGGUUCAGGAUGGACAGCAAAACUUUAAGAUUGUGUGUAGUCCAUGUUGUUUGACUGUUUACAUAUAAAUGUAUUGUAAGAACAUUUUUGGUUAUCAUGUUAGUAUAUGCUGUUGAUAAUUAACACUAAAAAAUGAAAAAUCAGUGUGAAUACAAUGUUUAUGUAAACAAGCCACAUAUUUGUGUUUAAUCAUUUAGCAGACACUUUUAUCUAAAACAACUUACAAGUGAGGACAAUAGAAGUAAUCAAAACCAACAAAAGAGCAAUAAAAUGCAAGUGGUAUAGUCGUGGUUAGUGCAGUAUACGUCAAGUCAAGUCACCUUUAUUUAUAUAGCGCUUUUAACAAUACAGAUUGUAUCAAAGCACUUAACAGUAUCAAAUUGGAGGAUAGAGUGUCAGUAAUGUAUAAUGAUAAGAUUAAAUACUCAAUUUUCAGUUAAAGGCAUUUCAUUACUGAAUUCAGAGAUGUCAUUGUCUAGCUCAGUUUAGUUUAAAUAGUGCCUAUGCAAUCAAAUGGAUGAUAAUCGCUGUAAAUUAAUACACGUAACAAGGUGUGUGUUUUUUAUAUACAUACAAUAUAUAUAUAUAUAUAUAUAUAUAUAUAUAUAUAUAUAUAUAGAUAGAUUGAUAGAUAGAUAGAUAGAUAGAUAGAUAGAUAGAUAGAUUUGGAAUAGAGUGUGUUGGAGUUAGAGGGUCAAAUAUAGAUGGACGAGGUGUGUUUUUAGCUGCUUCUUGAAGAUGGCUAAGGACUCAGCUGCUCAAAUUGAGUUGGGCAGGUCAUUCCAUCAGGAGGGAACAGUUAAUGUAAAAGUCCGUGAAAGUGAUUUAGUGCCUCUUUGGGAUGGCACAAUAAUGUGUCGUUCACUUGCAGAACGCAAGCUUCUAGAGGGUACGUAAGUCUGAAGUAGUGAAUUUAGGUAAAGGGGUGCCGAGCCAGUGGUGGUUUUGUAGGCAAACAUCAAUGUCUUGAAUUUUAUGCGAGCAGCUAUUGGUAGCCAGUGCAAAUUGAUGAACAGAGGUGUGACACGCGUUCUUUUCGGCUCAUUAAAAAUUUAUCUUGCUGCCACGUUCUGGAUUAAUUGUACAGGUUUAAUAGAACUGUCUGGAAGACCUGCCAAGAGAGCAUUGCAAUAGUCCAGCCUGGACAGAACAAGAGCUUGAGCAAGGAGUUGUGUUGCAUGUUCCAAAAGAAAGAGCCUGAUCUUGCUAAUGUUGAAUAAAGCAAAUCUGCAGGACCGGGUAGUUUUAGCAAUGUGGUCUGAGAAAGUGAGCUGAUCAUCAAUCACAACUCCAAGGUUUCUGGCUGUUUUUGAAGGAGUGAUGGUUGAUGUGUCUAACUGGAUGGUGAAACUGUGAUGGAACCACAAGCUGUUCUGUCUUGGCAAGGUUGAGUUGAAAGUGAUGGUCCUUCAUCCAGCAAGAAAUGUCUGUUAGACAAGCUGAGAUGCAAGCAGCUAUUAUCAGAUCAUCAGGAUGGAAUGAGAGGUAGAGUUGAGUGUCAUCAGCAUAGCAGUGAUAUGAAAAGCCAUGUUUCUGAAUGACAACAUGUAGACAGUGAUUCCAUGUAGACAGAGAAGAUAAGUGGUCCAAGAACUGAGCCCUGAGGCACCCCAGCAGCUAGAUGUUGCGACUUGGACACCUCACCCCUCCAAGAUACCUUGAAGGACCUGUCUGAGAGGUAAUUGUCAAACCACUGGAGUGCGGUUCCUGAGAUGCCCUUUGCCAAUAGGGUUGACAGGAGGAUCUGGUGGUUGACCAUAUCAAAAGCAGUGGACAGAUCCAGCUAAUUAAGUAAUGGAGAUUUGGAGUUUUUUGGAGUCUUAGGGCUUCAACAACUGAGAGCAAGGCAGUCUCGGUUUAAUGUCCACUUCUGAAACCAGACUGGUUGCUGUCGAGGAGGUUGUUCUGUGUGAGAAAGGCAGAGACUUGGUUGAACACAACUCGUUCAAGAGUUUUUGCAAUGAAAGGAAGAAGGGAAAAGAGUUCUUUAAAAGAGUUGGGUUAAGAGUGGGUUUCUUAAGUAGUGGGGUUAUACGAACCUGUCUAAAUGCUGAGGGAAAAACACCAGUGUGAAUGAGAUGAAAUAUGAUGAGAUGAAAUAGAAUCAAGUGGACAAGUAGUAGGAUGAUUAGGAAGGAUGAGUUUAGAGACUUCUGACUCAGAGAGUGGAGAGAAGGAUGUGAACGAGUGUAUGUUUGCUGGUAAGAUUUGUUUGACAGUUUGACAGUCUGAGUAAGAGAUGCUAACUGUUUAGAGCGAGGAAGCGAAGAUGAAAGUAAAACAGAGAGCCUGGAGGGUGAAUGUGAGCCUAGUUUACAUCAAAAGAUGACAUGUGGAGGGGUAUGUGUUGUGUCAGGAACCAUGUUGAGGUUAAGAGUGAGCAGGAAGUGAUCUGAGGUGUGCAGAGUGGAGCAGAGUGGAGCAGUGUCCUGAGAAUUAAUGAGAAAAUAUUGAAUUAAAUUAAAGAUUAUUAAAUAUAUAAUUAUCAUUGUAAUGCAUGGGGUGGGACUGAGAACCAUGAACGUGAGGCUUGGUGGCUCCCACGGCUCUCAGCCCCACCCCACUUGUCCCAAAAAUUUUAAGUGAAAGUGGCGUGACAUGUGGCCAAGUAUGGUUACCCAUACUCGGAAUUUGUGUUCUGCAAUUAACCCAUCCAAACUGCACACACACAGCAGUGAACGAACGAACACACAGUGCAAAUGACAACUGAGCCACCUAUGAACCUUGAUCAGUCUCAAGAAACCUGGAUGAAGAAGAACAAACAUUUCCCAUCCACCAAUUCCAAAUUAUUUUCUGUUCCACAAAAAAAAAAAAAAAUACAUGUUCCCCCCAAAAAAGGAUCCACAAGUAUGUGACACAGAGCAAGAAAUGUUCAAGUUUUGAUGCAUGUCAGCUUCCUGCAAAGGUACUCAAUGUAGAGGAAGAGGUAAUGAAGUCAUUAUACAAAAAUUAAAACUAUUUAUUUAUUGCAUAUAUUAAGGUACACUAUUAUUUACUGUAUGAACUGCAUGUCAUUAUAGGUCGACAUGCUAUGGAAGAAGCCACCUACAGAGUUGAUGUCUCCUAGCCAGAAUCUGGAGUACCUGUUACAUCCCAAGGAAUUCCAAACACUGAGGCCACAUGAAAGGUUAUUUGGAGAGGAACACAUAUCAAAACAAAAAUCUGAAUGCAUAAUUGUACAAUUAUAUUUGUAUUUGUAAAUGCUGUCCUCAAUAUAUUCAGGUAUUUUGAUUCAAAUUGACGUUUGAUUCAAAAUGCUGUAUUAUUUGUAGACUAUUGAGUGCUAUUUAACAGCUGUACUUAAUAUGAAGGGUGCAAAUCUCUACUAGCUAAACCAUUACACCACAGGUGUCAUUUUAAAUAGCACAAGGGAGCAGAUGGCAUGGCAAAGAUUGCGAAAAGUGAGAGCAGCUCCUUAUGAUUCUUAUUUUUUACAUGUACAGUACACAGACAUGAUUAUGCAUAUUUCUGAUAAACAGGUCAACUUUGAGCAAUAUGAUGGGCUCAUCACUUUCGUAAAUAUCAACAACAUACACUAGAGGUUUGCGUGACUACAUGCUUACACUGACACUAUUUUUAAUACUUGACCCUCAAAGUGGUACAAAUUAAAUGAAAGAAGCCAAAAAAGCCUGCAAAAAACUUUGAGAAUUGUUCCAAAUGAGAAAAAAAACAAGUAUGGAAGAGAGGACUUGGUGAGUACCAAGUGGAAACCUGGCACAAUCCAACAUUCAUUUCAGGAGGAUGGUUCCAGCUGUGGUGUCUUUGUGAUGCUGAUGGCGAAACAGGUGGUGAAAGAGUUCCCAAAAAUUCCUGACAGCAUUAAUAGAAGGAGAUGAUGUGCCACUACAGGAAAAAUGUGGCCAAUGAAAUUUUGCUGGCAUCAGUGUGAAGAGAGGAGUACUGCUCUGUGUGUGGAGAAAAAGAAAAAGCCCAAACAGAGGAGCAAUGCAUCUGGAUUCAAUGUGAAUUAUGUCAGAGGUAGUUUCAUGUUCAGUGCCUCAACAUUAAUCUGCUACCAGAAGAACAAGCAUGGAUUUGUGAUGUGUGUUUGAAAGCUAUUUAGUUAGAGGAGCUGAUGCUGAAAGUGUGUUUAAAUUGUAAGAAAAUUGUUUUGCACUGAUAAGGGACAACACAAACUAUGAAAACAUAUUUUAUUACAUAAACAGUUUAUACAUAGAAAAUACUUAAAUUUUCGAUUCAUCAAAAUAUCCACCAUUAGCAGCUGAAAACCUGGGCCAAUUUUAAACCAGUAACCAGGCAUCACAGCUGGCAAAGGGGCAUGUCUGACUUUGACAUGUAUAUAUUGCCAUUAUUAUGUAAUCAAAAUGAAAAUUAUUAUUGCUGGUCUUCAAUGAUAAUGUCAAGUUACUUUAAUGUACAGUAUUUGCACCAACAAAAAAUUAUAAGGAUUUAUUCUGAUGUCAUCCAAAACCACACUUUGCCAGGGGUAUUUCCAAACUUUUGGAGGACAGUGUAUGUGUGUAUUUUUAUUCUCAUCCUAUUUUUUAUUGUCUGUGUGUUGUCUCUGCUGGAAGCCUGUGACACAAAAUCAAAUUCCUUGUAUGCGCAAGAAUACUUGGCAAUAAAGCUCUUUCUGAUUCUGA